rnacentral:rRNA from 1 species
UGGUGGGUUGCCUUGUCAGGUUGAUUCCGGUAACGAACGAGACCUCAGCCUGCUAAAUAGUCACGGUUGGUCCUUCCAGCCGGCCGACUUCUUAGAGGGACUCUCGGCGACUAGCCGAUGGAAGUGUGAGGCGAUAACA